ensembl:lncRNA
GUUGUACCCAUAGAUGUAUAGGUAGAUUCCCCAUUCGCCCGCUCCAAGCACGUAGACUCAUCCAUGAUCUAAAUAAUAGGGAAUCUACCUCUUCAUAUCUAUGGCUGUACCUGCAUGAAUGGUCAUGUGACAUGCGUUUUAGGUUGUGUAGUGUAGACGGAGAUCGUUUGUGAAACGCAGUGGAAACACCAGUGUAGACGAGGAUCAUUUUCAUUCUAAAAUGGCGUUUUAAAUGAAAACACACUAGUGUAAACAGGGCCUCAGAAACAAACUGGUUACCGAGCAACAAAAUGACGUAAACAAAGGUGUAUGUUUGCAGUGUAAUUUACAACAGCUUCGAACUUGGCUCAGCCAAUCAGAAUCAAGGACUGGAACUCUCCGUUUUCUAAUUUAUUUUAUUCUUUGCAGAUUCAUGAUACUAGGUCGAUCUAGGUCGAAAAAAUCUGCUGUUUUUGUUUUGUUUUGUAAAACACUUCCUGUCAAAAGUGUGGGGGGCAGCAGGAUUAAGGAAUCACACACUCGUCUCCCGGCCCAUAAUCCCUCAGUCUCAGACUCGUGACCCACUUUCCUGGAGGAGUGGCACGGGUGAUGUGCCGUCUGACCGGCAUGGAGCGGCACUCGUGUGUGCAGGCGGGUGAGCCGGAGGGCUGUGGGUCAAAGACAAAACCAAAGGGCAGAGCGCGGCUCCCCAGGGACCUCGUCCUGUCAGCAGGGGAAAGAAAGAUCUGCAAGGGUCAAUGAACUGCUUCCAAAAGAUAAAACUCUGCAACACACAACAGAGUUGCACAAGUGUGUUGAGAUCAAACACAUCUGAAAACACUUGUAGCUCAUGUUAGCUUAGGUCCAUUAAACAAUAUAAACAGAUACAACUUUUAAUUUUAAUAAUGUAGUAGUAAAUGAUGACAUUAACAUUCACUAAAAUGAAUACAUAUAAGUGAUAUAAGGGAUAGUUUACCCAAAAAUUACAAUUUUGUCAUCAUUUACCCACAUGUUCCAAAACUGUAUGUGUUUCUUCUUUUGAACACAAAAGAAGAUAUUCUGAAGAAUGUUGGUAACCAAACAAUUUACGGUAGCCAUUGACUCCUAUAAUAUGGAAAAAAUACUAUGGGAGUCAAUGGCUACCAUCAACUCUUUGGUUACCAACAUUCUUCAAAUUAUCUCAAUAAUUUCAUUUCAUUAAGUUAUUUUUAGUACCAAAAACUUAACCAAAUCUAAUAAAUAAAAAUGGACUAAAAUAUAUUUAAAAUAA